rnacentral:lncRNA from 1 species
GAUGUGGUCAGAGCCACAGAGACCCUGUCAGGGCGUUGUGCCUGUAAAACAGGAUGCUGCCAUCCAUCAGCAGCAGCAAUGUGGCCAUCUCUACCAUCGCCCUGACAGCAACAGUGUGGGCGCUGUCUUGGGGGAGACACUAGUUCUCUGCCUGUUUCAUCCUCCUCACUGACCCCUCAGGCAUGGCCACCAGAGCCCCAUGAGGUGCCGGGGGCAAAGGUACAGUCCCUGGCACUGUUUCCAGCUGUGUUCUUCCUGCUAACGGUCAGCCUUCAGUUGGUACAGCAGAACUAUGGACUGAUGGCUGCAGGACACAACUCAUUCAGCAGUUCCUCCAGGAACCCUGCGGCGUGGAGUCUUCAGCUCACAAAAGGAAUCCCUUGUCCUAGUGGCAUCAGUUCCGAGGGACUAGAGAGGCCUCUGAAGACCCGGAGGAGUCGGACUCUGGUUGGGGCUGCCACCCGAUGGAGUGACAGCGGAAGAAAUCAUGGCAGAAACACAGCCCAGAAGAUGUCAAUUGGCCAGCACCCGACAGCCAACCCAGAAUCGGACAGAGCCAGGCUUCCGAUCCACAGUUCCUAUCUGAUCAAUGGCUUCAGCUUCUUGGCACGACCAAGAGUGGAAAUUCCAUUAGUUCAAGAGUUGUCUUUUGCAGUGUUUAAAAGGUUUCUUAUUUGCGGAACGUCAGGAUGGAAGGAAUCCUCCAAGUGUUCUAUGCAGCGUCCACCUUCCAUAGGUUUUUGUAACUCCAAGUCCAGAGCUCUUUUCUAA